UAUAUAUAUAUAUAACUAAUUGGGAAGUAUUGCCUUUAUCAGCUGAGGUAAUUUGGCAGAAUGAGUAAGUUUAUACUCCAGAGUUGGCUGUCUCACCUACUGUGGUUCAUUGCUAUCUUGUGGCCUACAUU
rnacentral:snoRNA from 1 species